AACUUUCGACAACGGAUCUCUUGGCUCUCGCAGCGAUGAAGAACGCAGCGAAAUGCGCUAAGUAAUGUGAAUUGCAGAAUUCAGUGAAUCAUCGAAUCUUUGAACGCACCUUGCGCUCCUUGGUAUUCCGAGGAGCAUGCCUGUUUGAGUGUCAUUAAAUUCUCAACCCUAUCAGUUUAUUUCUGAUAGUGGCUUGGAUGUGGGGGUUUCUCUUGCUGGCUCAGGUCAGCUCCCCUUAAAUGCAUUAGCUGGUGCACUGUGUGGACUGUCUAUUGGUGUGAUAAUUAUCUACGCCAUGCAUGGAUGUCUGCUUAGCACUGCUUCUAACCGUCUCCGACAAUACAUGACAAUUUGACCUCAAAUCAGGUAGGACUACCCGCUGAACUUAAGCAUAUCAAUAAGCGGAGGCU
rnacentral:misc_RNA from 1 species